AAUUUUGCCAAUUUAUGAGAAUUUUAAUAUAGAUUUUGCCCACUUGAGUUUAAUUUUAACUCUUCAAUUCAAUUAUGGUCCAAUUUUAAAUAUCUUGUAACUUUAAAUCUCAGUCAUAAAUCAAAUUAAUCAAUGAGUGAGAUUGAUUCUUCAUCUCUUUCCUUUUUAAAAUACCCAAAACAACAGUCAUACUUCCUUCUCUCUCUACGCUUUACUUUCUCUCUCUAAACUCUACCAUUACAGCCGCCCAUUUCUCCUUCUCCGACAUUGGCUAAUGGAUGUAAACUUGCAUCAGCAUACCCAUAGUGAUUCUUCAGGCAAUGCAAAUCCUAUUUGGUAAACAAAAUUCUCAAUGUUGGUUGAUACUUCUCUCCAGGAUUUGGCCCUCCAUGUUAAAGUUUAUAGUAGAGAACCUAUUUUUCUUAGAGAAAAACUCAUGGGAACACCUUCUGUGGUUUUGAAAGAAUUUCUGGACAAGUACGAUAAGAACUCUGAGGUUUCAAAGUCAACUAAAGAAGUCGGGAGCUUUCAAUUGCUGAAAAAGAACUCGAAUAAACCUCAGGGAUUUGUUGAUGUUUCUAUAAGAAUUUCAGUAGAAAAGGAAGAACCCAGUUCCCAACCAGAAAGAAACAAGAAAUAUUAACUGUUCAAAGUGCAUCAAUUGUGGAAGGAGGAUGAUAAAGGAACUGGACUUAUUGAUGAAACAUGUAUACAAGAAAUCAUCUUCAAAUGAUGAACGCCAAUCUCAAGAAGACAACCAAGCUUAUGAGAAUGAAAGUGAUUCUAACCAUGAUGCUUGAUAGUUUUAUUGAGGAUUCAAGUUUGAAAUAUUUUAUUUUGGACCAUUUAAGAAUCAUACAUUAUUGAUGCGGAUGUUACGAAUUAUGUUUUUUUGUUAGCUGUAAUGGUUUAUAUUAGACUUGUAUCGAAUGAUGUUUUUUUAAAAUUAUUGGAAGUUUUGAAUAGAUUUUUGACUAAUUGUGAAA